GGAGGAAGAGCUCACGUAGGAUUAGGUUGUUGGUGUGGUAACGGCUCACCAAGCCAAUGAUCCUUAGCCGCCCUGAGAGGGGGGCCGGCCACGGUGGAACUGAGACACGGUCCACACGCCUAGGCGGCAGCAGUGGAUAAGAUUCGACAAUGAGCGAAAGCUUGAUCGAGCCACACCACGUGAGCGAAGAAGGCCGAUGUUGUCGUAAAGCUCUAAAGCUCAGUCAUCACGACUGGGCGAUAAGUACCGGCUAACUCUGUGCCAGCAGCCGCGGUAAGACAGGGGGUGCAAGCGUUACCCGGUUUUACUAUGGCGUAAAGGGCACGCAGGCGGUAGACAUAAGGUAUUGCUCUACGCCAUGGCUUACCCUUGGCGCAGCGGUUCUCUUGGUCUACUCGAGUUUGAUAGAGGAGAGUGGAAUUUUUAGUGUAGAGGUAAAAUUCGUAGAUACUGAAAGGAACAUCAAAAGCGAAGGCAGCUCUCUAUAUCAACACUGACGCUGAGGUGCGGAAGCGUGGGUAGCAAAAGGGAUUAGAUACCCCUGUAGUCCACGCCGUCAACGAUGAGUGUUAGGUUUUGCCGUGUGGCAGAGCCGUAGCUAACGCGUUAAACACUCCGCCUGGGGACUACGGUCGCAAGACUAAAACUCAAAGGAAUUGGCGGUAGCUCAAACAAGCGGCGGAACAUGCCGUUUAAUUCGAAACAACGCGCAAAACCUUACCAACCCUUGACAUGAAUUCGAGCACUUGCUGUAAUCACAAGAUGGUUUUUUUCCGAAAAAGCGGCCGCUCGCUCGGAAGACCCCGCAGCAAUUCACAGGUGCUGCAUGGCUGUCGUCAGUUCGUGGCGUGAGUCGUUUGGUUAAUUCCUGCAACGAACGAAACCCCUGGUUUGUGUUGCUAAUCAAAAAGCUACUCUCAAACGACUGCCUGCGAUAUGCAGGAGAAGGGCGGGGACCACGUCAAGUCGUCAUGGCCCUGAUGGGUUGGGCUACUCGGUGUGUUACAAUGGUGUCCACAAAGGGAUGCGAUAGUGCAAGCUGGAGCGAAACCUAAAAAGUCAUCAUCGUUCGGAUUGUUCUCUGCAACUCGAGAACAUGAAGUCGGAGUCGCUAGUAAUCG
rnacentral:rRNA from 1 species